UACGAAGGGGCUAGCGUUGCUCGGAAUCACUGGGCGUAAAGCGCACGUAGGCGGAUCUUUAAGUCAGGGGUGAAAUCCUGGAGCUCAACUCCAGAACUGCCUUUGAUACUGGGGAUCUCGAGUCCGGGAGAGGUGAGUGGAACUGCGAGUGUAGAGGUGAAAUUCGUAGAUAUUCGCAAGAACACCAGUGGCGAAGGCGGCUCAUC
rnacentral:rRNA from 1 species